GUCUCAGGGUCCCUGGGUAGGUUGUGGAAGAUGUCUAGUAACUACCAUCCCUCCCUUUCGUUCAAUAUAAAAGAGGAGGAACUAAGAAGGGGUGAUGUUGAGGCCGGAGAGCAAUUUGGACUAUUUCCUGUUGUCCGGGGUUGUCGCAUGUUCGGGCAUUGCUGAUCCUCACCAUCAGGGCACACUCCGUAACCAUGAGACUCAGGCUUUGUGGCUAGCAGCCCGUAGUCCCGUAACAGUAAAUUAGUUGUUUGAUUAGAGAGUUUUUUGAGUUUGUUGUUGAAGAAAUGCCAGAGGAGAAGAAAUUGAUAAAAGAGGGUUCGAUGACAGCCAGGAGGGGCAAGAUUUGAACUGCCCUUUCAUCAUGUCUGGCAGCUAUUGCGUGCAACAGGAAUUGUGCUUUUAUUUUGGGAGAUUGGAACUCCUGAAAAAUGAGGCCUAGCUGGAAAAGAGACCACUGGGGACAGACCUCUCUGAUGCUACAACACAGCCCAAGCUCCCAUAGUUGGUGCCAUGAAGAGAGCUUCACAGAGCUGACCUGCCUUCUCCACCACAGUGGGCUAAACCAUUGGAAAUCCCGAGCCAGGAGCAAUCCUGGUCCUCAAGUUGCUUCUGUCUGUCAUUCUGCCACAGCAAUGAGAAAAUCAGCAAUAACUGAAGCAGCAAGCCUUUGUUCUGCGGAAGCUCGUUUCACUUCUCGUAAAGAGCAAAACUGCCUCGGGACAGCGUCGGAGCACUGGAGAUCCCAUUUAACGUUGAUGGCAGCUCUUGUUCUUAUUUUUAAUUAAUUAUGUGUAUGGGUGUUUUGUUUGCAUGCAUAUCUGUGUACCUCAUGUGUGCCCAGAGAUGCCCAGAAGAGGGAGUCAGCAUCAAAGCCCCUGGCUAACAUGUCUCAGCAGCUCAUAUUAUUGAUGGGAAGCAUCCAGUGACCAUCAUUAGUGUUGCUUACAGCAGAUGGCUGAGAAGUUGUUCACAGGAGUGUGUACCCAUCACCAUUGACUACAACACGGGAUAAAACACCUCUUCCCAUCCCCAGCAACUUAACUGCUCGAAGAUCCUCAGGGAGAGAUGUGGCCUCGAGAGCUCCUCCCACAUCCAUGUUGAGAUGGUGAAGGGACGAAUCCUGUGCAGGAAACCACAGCUGCUGUGUACUGAAGGGUGUAAGGACCAUAGCACACCUAGAAGUCUGCAUCUGCCAUGGUGUGUGCCUUCUUUCCUCUCUUCUGCUCUUUCUUCGCCCUCAUCGGUUAAGUUCUCUGAGCCUUGGAUAUGUUUGGCAGGAUUCUUUUGGUCUCCAGAGAGAGAAGCCCAAAUUUAAACUGGUUUCAUACAAUGGAGGAACUUACAGUUCUAUUAAUAGUGUCAGAGACGGUUCCAGGUGUGACAUUAUAGGAAUGGCCCUUUCUUAGUUUUGAUUUAGAAAAACAAAGAGACUCUAUCCUGUACAACACUUGAAUUUAGUUUCAAUCCUCACCUGUGCUUGAAGGACACCAGAUUUUAAGAUUUACUCUGAAUGUUAUGAAAAGGCAGUCUUUUACCCUCAUUUAUCAGACUGACAGGGUGUUUUUAGACAAAUAUUCAGUGUUUGUAUCAGGCAACCAGUGGUCCCAGCUGAUCUAGAGUGUGUUCUGAUCACUGCACUUUGUGUGGUAGUUUCUGUUUUCAUCGGAGUUUUUCAUCUUGUGACUGCUUGCUUUUCGAUGCAGCCAUUUAUCUGAAUUACUCACUGUUGGCUAUGCAAACAGCUCAGUGUAUUCAAACACAAGCCAGUAUCGGUUGGUUUUGUGUUUUUUAAAAGACAGUUCCUCAGUCUGUAGAGGGCAGUCGGGAAGCAACUACCCUGGAAUACUGUUUUCAGCGUCACCCUGAAGUUCCUAUUUAUGUUUGGAUGCCCUGUAUGUAUGUAUGUGUACCAUGUGGGUACAAGUGUUCACAGAGGCCAGAAGAGGGCGUUGGAUCCCCCAGA
rnacentral:lncRNA from 1 species